GGGUGGCUGGAGGUGGUGUGUAUAAUCUUGUGUGCGCAUGCAGGACUUCCAACGCCUCCCUGCUGCUGUUGUUUAGAGAGAUAAGCAGGACAAUGACACAGCGAACUCGACACUGUCCCGCCAACAGAGAGGGAAAUUUAAACACACUCACCGCCCCCGCCAACACACUGCUAUUCACACUCGCCAUUCUGCGCUAUUAUACGCUGAUGAUCGUUGAUCCCUGGAUCUGUCUGAUGGCAUCAUGGACCCCACAGUGAUCCAGACUGGAGAGGUGCCGCUGGUGGUGGUGGUUAGUAGUGUGGUCACUCUGUGUUUGCUGGUGAUCACUACACUGUGGAUGUGCUGGAAGAUGAAGGCGGGGCUCAGCAGCCAAUCAGACGAGAGUGAUGACACAGACGAGUUGAAACCCCCUGAAAAUGAUUUGCCCACAGAAACACCCCAAACAGAGGAUUUUGAGCUGCCUCAGGACGAUCAGGACGAACCGCCGGACGAAGACAAUAACGAAGAAGAACCUGAAGAAGAAGAUAACGACAGUUGAAGCAGUGUGUGUUCUAGGGCGUCACAUCAAUGUCAAAAGUCAGGGGAGCAAAAACAACAGGUGAAAAAAAUUAACCAGCAUGUUUUAACAUUUUGUGCAUAUAAAUGAACUUCUUUUUCUCCUCUCGGGUUUUUUUUUCUCUCGAAUUCACAGUUCUCCUCCUACUGUUGUUUUUGCGCUCAAGUUUUUUUGACAGUUGACAGGGUCGCCUCCCUCAGCAAAUGCUAUUGGCUGAUAUCUCUAGGGUUUGUGACGGACCACCUACUAACAACAGCUGGAAGAGUUAGCUAACUGGCUAUGCUAACAUCCAAACAACCCGCUCUCCGGCACGCCGACUCUGUCUGCCUGGGUUAGCUCCUCGAGUGACCGUCUAUCAGCCAAUAGCAUUCGCUGAGGGAGGCGACCCUGACCCCGCCCCCAAACUGUCAAAACCACCCCUUUCAAAACUAGAGCACAAAAAACUCACUCGAGUGAAAACAGCAGCACGAGGUAAACUGUGAAUUUGUGAGGAAAAAGAACACCCGAGAGGAGAAAAAUGAUGCUCGAGAGAGAUAUUCUAUUCAGCGCGCACACGAUUCCCUUUUUUUUGCUCGCGAGUUUCACAUUUGUGCUCACGAGAAGUACAUUUACACACUCAACAUGUUAAAACACGCUGGUUAAUUUUUUUCACCUGUUAUUUUUCUGCCCCCGACUUUUGACAUUAAUGUGAUGCCAUAGUGUUCCACCUCCAGCUGCCACUGAUCAUUUUAUUUUAUUUUAUGACUGGAAUACUUCCUUUACAUACAUAAAUAAACCUACCCAAAAGUAUCUGGACA
rnacentral:lncRNA from 1 species